CCUACGGGAGGCAGCAGUGAGGAAUAUUGGUCAAUGGACGAGAGUCUGAACCAGCCAAGUAGCGUGAAGGAUGACUGCCCUAUGGGUUGUAAACUUCUUUUAUAAGGGAAUAAAACGAGGCACGUGUGCCUUUUUGCAUGUACUUUAUGAAUAAGGAUCGGCUAACUCCGUGCCAGCAGCCGCGGUAAUACGGAGGAUCCGAGCGUUAUCCGGAUUUAUUGGGUUUAAAGGGAGCGUAGGUGGGAGGUUAAGUCAGUUGUGAAAUGUUGGGGCUCAACCGUAGAAUUGCAGUUGAUACUGGCAGUCUUGAGUACAGUUGAGGUAGGCGGAAUUCGUGGUGUAGCGGUGAAAUGCUUAGAUAUCACGAAGAACCCCGAUUGCGAAGGCAGCAUACUAAAGCGUGACUGACGUUGAAGCUCGAAAGUGUGGGUAUCGAACAGGAUUAGAUACCCGUGUAGUC
rnacentral:rRNA from 1 species